UUAAGCGACUAAGCGUACACGGUGGAUGCCCUGGCAGUCAGAGGCGAUGAAGGACGUGCUAAUCUGCGAUAAGCGUCGGUAAGGUGAUAUGAACCGUUAUAACCGGCGAUUUCCGAAUGGGGAAACCCAGUGUGUUUCGACACACUAUCAUUAACUGAAUCCAUAGGUUAAUGAGGCGAACCGGGGGAACUGAAACAUCUAAGUACCCCGAGGAAAAGAAAUCAACCGAGAUUCCCCCAGUAGCGGCGAGCGAACGGGGAGCAGCCCAGAGCCUGAAUCAGUGUGUGUGUUAGUGGAAGCGUCUGGAAAGGCGCGCGAUACAGGGUGACAGCCCCGUACACAAAAAUGCACAUGCUGUGAGCUCGAUGAGUAGGGCGGGACACGUGGUAUCCUGUCUGAAUAUGGGGGGACCAUCCUCCAAGGCUAAAUACUCCUGACUGACCGAUAGUGAACCAGUACCGUGAGGGAAAGGCGAAAAGAACCCCGGCGAGGGGAGUGAAAAAGAACCUGAAACCGUGUACGUACAAGCAGUGGGAGCACGCUUAGGCGUGUGACUGCGUACCUUUUGUAUAAUGGGUCAGCGACUUAUAUUCUGUAGCAAGGUUAACCGAAUAGGGGAGCCGAAGGGAAACCGAGUCUUAACUGGGCGUUAAGUUGCAGGGUAUAGACCCGAAACCCGGUGAUCUAGCCAUGGGCAGGUUGAAGGUUGGGUAACACUAACUGGAGGACCGAACCGACUAAUGUUGAAAAAUUAGCGGAUGACUUGUGGCUGGGGGUGAAAGGCCAAUCAAACCGGGAGAUAGCUGGUUCUCCCCGAAAGCUAUUUAGGUAGCGCCUCGUGAAUUCAUCUCCGGGGGUAGAGCACUGUUUCGGCAAGGGGGUCAUCCCGACUUACCAACCCGAUGCAAACUGCGAAUACCGGAGAAUGUUAUCACGGGAGACACACGGCGGGUGCUAACGUCCGUCGUGAAGAGGGAAACAACCCAGACCGCCAGCUAAGGUCCCAAAGUCAUGGUUAAGUGGGAAACGAUGUGGGAAGGCCCAGACAGCCAGGAUGUUGGCUUAGAAGCAGCCAUCAUUUAAAGAAAGCGUAAUAGCUCACUGGUCGAGUCGGCCUGCGCGGAAGAUGUAACGGGGCUAAACCAUGCACCGAAGCUGCGGCAGCGACGCUGAUGCGUUGUUGGGUAGGGGAGCGUUCUGUAAGCCUGCGAAGGUGUGCUGUGAGGCAUGCUGGAGGUAUCAGAAGUGCGAAUGCUGACAUAAGUAACGAUAAAGCGGGUGAAAAGCCCGCUCGCCGGAAGACCAAGGGUUCCUGUCCAACGUUAAUCGGGGCAGGGUGAGUCGACCCCUAAGGCGAGGCCGAAAGGCGUAGUCGAUGGGAAACAGGUUAAUAUUCCUGUACUUGGUGUUACUGCGAAGGGGGGACGGAGAAGGCUAUGUUGGCCGGGCGACGGUUGUCCCGGUUUAAGCGUGUAGGCUGGUUUUCCAGGCAAAUCCGGAAAAUCAAGGCUGAGGCGUGAUGACGAGGCACUACGGUGCUGAAGCAACAAAUGCCCUGCUUCCAGGAAAAGCCUCUAAGCAUCAGGUAACAUCAAAUCGUACCCCAAACCGACACAGGUGGUCAGGUAGAGAAUACCAAGGCGCUUGAGAGAACUCGGGUGAAGGAACUAGGCAAAAUGGUGCCGUAACUUCGGGAGAAGGCACGCUGAUAUGUAGGUGAAGUCCCUCGCGGAUGGAGCUGAAAUCAGUCGAAGAUACCAGCUGGCUGCAACUGUUUAUUAAAAACACAGCACUGUGCAAACACGAAAGUGGACGUAUACGGUGUGACGCCUGCCCGGUGCCGGAAGGUUAAUUGAUGGGGUCAGCGCAAGCGAAGCUCUUGAUCGAAGCCCCGGUAAACGGCGGCCGUAACUAUAACGGUCCUAAGGUAGCGAAAUUCCUUGUCGGGUAAGUUCCGACCUGCACGAAUGGCGUAAUGAUGGCCAGGCUGUCUCCACCCGAGACUCAGUGAAAUUGAACUCGCUGUGAAGAUGCAGUGUACCCGCGGCAAGACGGAAAGACCCCGUGAACCUUUACUAUAGCUUGACACUGAACAUUGAGCCUUGAUGUGUAGGAUAGGUGGGAGGCUUUGAAGUGUGGACGCCAGUCUGCAUGGAGCCGACCUUGAAAUACCACCCUUUAAUGUUUGAUGUUCUAACGUUGACCCGUAAUCCGGGUUGCGGACAGUGUCUGGUGGGUAGUUUGACUGGGGCGGUCUCCUCCUAAAGAGUAACGGAGGAGCACGAAGGUUGGCUAAUCCUGGUCGGACAUCAGGAGGUUAGUGCAAUGGCAUAAGCCAGCUUGACUGCGAGCGUGACGGCGCGAGCAGGUGCGAAAGCAGGUCAUAGUGAUCCGGUGGUUCUGAAUGGAAGGGCCAUCGCUCAACGGAUAAAAGGUACUCCGGGGAUAACAGGCUGAUACCGCCCAAGAGUUCAUAUCGACGGCGGUGUUUGGCACCUCGAUGUCGGCUCAUCACAUCCUGGGGCUGAAGUAGGUCCCAAGGGUAUGGCUGUUCGCCAUUUAAAGUGGUACGCGAGCUGGGUUUAGAACGUCGUGAGACAGUUCGGUCCCUAUCUGCCGUGGGCGCUGGAGAACUGAGGGGGGCUGCUCCUAGUACGAGAGGACCGGAGUGGACGCAUCACUGGUGUUCGGGUUGUCAUGCCAAUGGCACUGCCCGGUAGCUAAAUGCGGAAGAGAUAAGUGCUGAAAGCAUCUAAGCACGAAACUUGCCCCGAGAUGAGUUCUCCCUGACUCCUUGAGAGUCCUGAAGGAACGUUGAAGACGACGACGUUGAUAGGCCGGGUGUGUAAGCGCAGCGAUGCGUUGAGCUAACCGGUACUAAUGAACCGUGAGGCUUAACCUU
rnacentral:rRNA from 1 species